rnacentral:rRNA from 1 species
UGAUAGUAUCAGAAGAGGAAGGGACGGCUAACUCUGUGCCAGCAGCCGCGGUAAUACAGAGGUCCCAAGCGUUGUUCGGAUUCAUUGGGCGUAAAGGGUGCGUAGGUGGCGCCGUAAGUGGGGUGUGAAAUUUCGGAGCUUAACUCCGAAACUGCAUUCCAUACUGCGGUGCUUGAGGACUGGAGAGGAGACUGGAAUUUACGGUGUAGCAGUGAAAUGCGUAGAGAUCGUAAGGAAGACCAGUGGCGAAGGCGGGUCUCUGGACAGUUCCUGACACUGAGGCACGAAGGCCAGGGGAGCAAACGGGAUUAGAUACCCCGGUAGUCCUGGCAGUAAACGGUGCACGUUUGGUGUGGGGGGAUUCGACCCCUUCUGCGCCGGAGCUAACGCGUUAAACGUGCCGCCUGGGGAGUACGGUCGCAAGAUUAAAACUCAAAGAAAUUGACGGGGGCCCGCACAAGCGGUGGAGUAUGUGGCUUAAUUCGAUGCAACGCGAAGAACCUUACCUGGCCUUGACAUGCAUCUCUAAGCUGGUGAAAGCCAGUGAGUGUCGAAAGACAUAAUUUGCACAGGUGC